AUUGAACGCUGGCGGCAGGCCUAACACAUGCAAGUCGAACGAGUGGCGGACGGGUGAGUAAUGUCUGGGAAACUGCCCGAGGGAGGGGGAUAACUACUGGAAACGGUAGCUAAUACCGCAUCCCAUCGGAUGUGCCCAGAUGGGAUUAGCUAGGAGGUGUGGUAACGGCUCACCUAGGCGACGAUCCCUAGCUGGUCUGAGAGGAUGCCCGGCAACCUGGGAAAGGAUACACGGUCCAGACGCCUACGGUAGGCAGCAGUGGGGAAUAUUGCACAAUGGGCGCAAGCCUGAUGCAGCCAGGACGCGUGUAUGAAGAAGGCCUUAGGGUUGUAAAGUACUUUCAGCGAGGAGGCGUUACUCGCAGAAGAAGCACCGGCUAACGCCGUGCCAGCAGCCGCGGUAAUAC
rnacentral:rRNA from 1 species